GCGUCGAUGGUGUAAAGGUCAACAUGGUUGCCUUCCAAGAAGCCGAUCCGGGUUCGAUUCCAGGCCGACGCA
rnacentral:tRNA from 1 species